GGGGGACUUACCUCCGACCCGGUACAUGUUGGCAGCCAUGCCCGGGCUGGGGGGUCUGGGCCGCUCCCGCCGCCACUGCCUCCAGGCCUGACCAAGAUAGAGCUCUGGCUGAAAGAGAACUGACUACAUCACAAUCCAGAUGAGAUGGAAGAAAAAGGAAAGCAUUAAGAUAUUUUAGAUAACCCAGUUGGUGGCAAGAUGAGGACUAGAUGCUUGAAAUGGAGUAAAACUCCAAUGGACCAAUAAAGGAAUAUUAUGCCCAUGCAUCUCCUACAACUGUCCUUCAGCCUCCAACUGCCUGGCUUUCUGCUACAGAUUUAAGGAAACAUAUCCUCACAUUUUCCCCCAGUGUAAACAAGCACAUGAUCACUCUUGUCAAGGAGGAGGAGCCAACACCAUGUGACCUGCCACCUCAUCAUUUACUGCUAGCAAGUGCCCAGUGACCACUGUUUUGAGAAUCUUUGGGAAGAUUUUUCUGUGCAGUUACCACAGGUAGUAAACAGAGUGAUCCAGCAGGAAGGAAAAACAAAGAAAGCUCUAACAGGUGAAAAAAGUCAGCAUGGAACAUCCUUCCACAUGGACUCUUUGUCCUCUGGUGCUCCAAUGGAAAUAUUUUACAAGAAGAGAACUGAAACUAUAAAAACGAGGAACACCACCCCCUCUCUCUCCCUGUCUGCCUUUGGCAUUGCACCUAAGAUGACAAAGGAGAACCACCAUUGGAUUCUGGGGCAGAGGGGUCCUGACCUGAAGAGUUUGGUCAGUAACCUUACUAGAAGCAUAUGGUGAGAAAUUUGUCUUGAAUCUAAUAUAGUUUGCUAAGUUAGCACUAGAAAGCAUUUUAUCUAUUUUUCUUGUAACCAUUUCUGACUUCUAGGCCUCUUUUACUUGUACCCACAAUCUCCCUCU